rnacentral:rRNA from 1 species
CCUACGGGUGGCAGCAGUGAGGAAUAUUGGUCAAUGGACGAGAGUCUGAACCAGCCAAGUAGCGUGAAUGAUGAAUGCCCUAUGGGUUGUAAACUUCUUUUAUAUGGGAAUAAAAUGUUCCACGUGUGGGCUUUUGUAUGUACCUUAUGAAUAAGGAUCGGCUAACUCCGUGCCAGCAGCCGCGGUAAUACGGAGGAUCCGAGCGUUAUCCGGAUUUGUUGGGUUUAAAGGGAGCGUAGGUGGAUUUUUAAGUCAGUUGGGAAAGUUUGGGGCUCAACCGUAAAAUUGCAGUUGAAACUGGCAGUCGUGAGUACAGUAGAGGUGGGCGGAAUUCGUGGUGUAGCGGUGAAAUGCUUAGAUAUCACGAAGAACUCCGAUUGCGAAGGCAGCAUACCGGCGCCCGACUGACGCUGAGGCACGAAAGCGUGGGUAUCGAACAGGAUUAGAUACCCGAGUAGUC